GAAACCAACAGGGAUUGCCCUAGUAACGGCGAGUGAAGCGGCAACAGCUCAAAUUUGAAAUCUGGCCCUUUCAGGGUCCGAGUUGUAAUUUGUAGAGGGUGCUUUGGCGUUGACUGCGGUCUAAGUUCCUUGGAACAGGACGUCACAGAGGGUGAGAAUCCCGUACGUCGCUGCCAGUCCUCGCCGUGUAAAGCCCUUCGACGAGUCGAGUUGUUUGGGAAUGCAGCUCUAAAUGGGAGGUAAAUUUCUUCUAAAGCUAAAUAUUGGCCAGAGACCGAUAGCGCACAAGUAGAGUGAUCGAAAGAUGAAAAGCACUUUGGAAAGAGAGUCAAAAAGCACGUGAAAUUGUUGAAAGGGAAGCGCUUGCAGCCAGACUUGCCUGUAGUUGCUCACCCGGGCUCUUGCCCGGGGCACUCUUCUGCGGGCAGGCCAGCAUCAGUUUGGGCAGCCAGAUAAAGACCUCUGUCACGUAAUCUUCCUUCGGGAUGACCUUAUAGGGGAGGUGUAAUGUGGCUAGCCCGGACUGAGGUCCGCGCAUUGCUAGAUUGCUGGCGUAAUGGCUGUAAGCGGCCCGUCUUGAAACACGGACCCAAGGAGUCUAACAUCUAUGCGAGUGUUUGGGUGUCAAGCCCGGGCGCGUAAUGAAAGUGAACGGAGGUGGGAACCUUUUAGGUGCACCAUCGACCGAUCCUGAUGUCUUCGGAUGGAUUUGAGUAAGAGCAUAGCUGUUGGGACCCGAAAGAUGGUGAACUAUGCCUGAAUAGGGUGAAGCCAGAGGAAACUCUGGUGGAGGCUCGCAGCGGUUCUGACGUGCAAAUCGAUCGUCAAAUUUGGGCAUAGGGGCGAAAGACUAAUCGAACUAUCUAGUAGCU
rnacentral:rRNA from 1 species